AUGGAUUGAUGACGUGAGAAUAAACUGCGUUAUCUAUCUGAAAUUUCCAAACUAGAGCUGAAGAAUACAUUAAGCUUGCUGAGAUCCAAU
rnacentral:snoRNA from 1 species